GAUGAACGCUAGCGGCAGGCUUAAUACAUGCAAGUCGUGGGGCAGCACAGGUAGCAAUACUGGGUGGCGACCGGCAAACGGGUGAGGAACAUGUACGCAACCUUCCUUUAACUGGAGAAUAGCCCCUCGAAAGAGGGAUUAAUACUCCGUAACAUUUCGAUACAGCAUUGUAUUGAAAUUAUAGCUCCGGCGGUUAAAGAUGGGCGUGCACCUGAUUAGAUAGUUGGCGGGGUAACGCCCACCAAGUCUGCGAUCAGUAACUGGUGUGAGAGCACGACCAGUCACACGGGGCACUGAGACACGGGUCCGACUCCUACGGGAGGCAGCAGUAAGGAAUAUUGGCCAAUGGGACGCAAGUCUGAACCAGCCAUGCCGCGUGGAGGAUUAAGGCCCUCUGGGUUGUAAACUCCUUUUA
rnacentral:rRNA from 1 species